CGUGGUCUAGUGGUUAAGAUUACGGGCUAACAUUCUGGGGGGUCACAGGUUCGAGUCCGGUAGU
rnacentral:tRNA from 11 species